rnacentral:tRNA from 1 species
GCCCCCAUCGUUCAACGGACAGGACGAGGGUUUCCUAAACCCUAAAUGAUCGUUCGAUUCGGUCUGGGGGCACAA